GGAGGUAUAGUCUAGUGGUAGGACGCGACCUUUACACGGUUGAGGCAGGAGUUCAAUUCUCCUUACCUCCA
rnacentral:tRNA from 1 species